rnacentral:rRNA from 1 species
AACGAACGCUGGCGGCAGGCCUAACACAUGCAAGUCGAACGUGAAGCCACCUUCGGGUGGUGGAAAGUGGCAGACGGGUGAGUAACGCGUGGGAACGUGCCUUUCGGUUCGGGAUAACCCAGGGAAACUUGGGCUAAUACCGGAUACGCCCUCCGGGGGAAAGAUUCAUUGCCGAAAGAUCGGCCCGCGUCGGAUUAGCUAGUUGGUGGGGUAAAAGCCUACCAAGGCGACGAUCCGUAGCUGGUCUGAGAGGAUGACCAGCCACACUGGGACUGAGACACGGCCCAGACUCCUACGGGAGGCAGCAGUGGGGAAUCUUGGACAAUGGGCGCAAGCCUGAUCCAGCCAUGCCGCGUGGGUGAAGAAGGCCCUAGGGUUGUAAACCCCUUUCGGCGGGGAAGAUAAUGACGGUACCCGCAGAAGAAGCCCCGGCUAACUCCGUGCCAGCCGCCGCAGUAAGAC